GAUGAACGCUAGCGAUAGGCUUAACACAUGCAAGUCGAGGGGCAGCAUGGUCUUAGCUUGCUAAGACUGAUGGCGACCGGCGCACGGGUGCGUAACGCGUAUGCAACUUGCCUCACAGAGGGGGAUAACCCGUCGAAAGACGGACUAAUACCGCGUACACUUGGGAUAGGGCAUCCUGACCCAAGGAAAUGAAAUUCGCUGUGAGAUAGGCAUGCGUCCCAUUAGCUAGUUGGUGAGGUAACGGCUCACCAAGGCGACGAUGGGUAGGGGAACUGAGAGGUUGAACCCCCACACUGGUACUGAGACACGGACCAGACUCCUACGGGAGGCAGCAGUGAGGAAUAUUGGUCAAGGGGCGAGAGCCUGAACCAGCCAAGUCGCGUGAAGGAUGACUGUCUUAUGGAUUGUAAACUUCUUUUAUACGGGAAUAACAAGAGUCACGUGUGGCUCCCUGCAUGUACCGUAUGAAUAAGCAUCGGCUAACUCCGUG
rnacentral:rRNA from 1 species